UACGAAGGGGCUAGCGUUGCUCGGAAUCACUGGGCGUAAAGGGUGCGUAGGCGGGUCUUUAAGUCAGGGGUGAAAUCCUGGAGCUCAACUCCAGAACUGCCUUUGAUACUGAGGAUCUUGAGUUCGGAGAGGUGAGUGGAACUGCGAGUGUAGAGGUGAAAUUCGUAGAUAUUAGGGAAGAACACCGGUGGCGAAGGCGGCUCACUGGCUCGUAACUGACGCUCAUGCACGACAGCGUGGGGAUCAAACAGG
rnacentral:rRNA from 1 species